UACGGGGGGGGCAAGCGUUGUUCGGAAUUACUGGGCGUAAAGGGCUCGUAGGCGGCCAACUAAGUCGGAUGUGAAAUCCCCAAGCUUAACUUGGGAACUGCAUCCGAUACUGGAUGGCUUGAAUCCGGGAGAGGGAUGCAGAAUUCCAGGUGUAGCGGUGAAAUGCGUAGAUAUCUGGAGGAAUACCGGUGGCGAAGGCGGCAUCCUGGACCGGCAUUGACGCUGAGACGCGAAAGCGUGGGGAGCGAACAGG
rnacentral:rRNA from 1 species